rnacentral:rRNA from 1 species
UACGGAGGGUGCAAGCGUUAUCCGGAUUCACUGGGUUUAAAGGGUGCGUAGGAGGGCAGGUAAGUCAGUGGUGAAAUCUCCGAGCUUAACUUGGAAACUGCCGUUGAUACUAUCUGUCUUGAAUAUUGUGGAGGUGAGCGGAAUAUGUCAUGUAGCGGUGAAAUGCUUAGAUAUGACAUAGAACACCAAUUGUGAAGGCAGCUCGCUACGCAUAUAUUGACUCUGAGGCACGAAAGCGUGGGGAUCAAACAGG